CUCCCUACCAAUCUUAAUUCUCUCUUUUAACGUCACUCCUACUCUUCUUCUUUCUUCUUCCCUAAAUUUUUCUUCUUUUUUUUCAACAAUGGAAGAACACACUGAUGAUGAAGAUUCGGAUGAUUUUUCUUCUUCUUCGUUGGUGUGAGAUAUAUAUCAUGAUCAAGUGAUUACUUUCUUUGGGCAACUACCCAUCCUUUGGCAAAUUAAAACACUCGGCUCAAAAUUCAAGACUAUUUAAUUAGAUAUAUAUUUGUAUUUUUGGUCUAGAGGGCAGCCCGAUUCAUGCAAGGUUCGGGGAAAAGCUGCAAACCAUUAAGGAUGUGACAGAGACAACCUAUCAUAAUGCAAGUAUUAGUAAUUACUUCCGUGACUUGCACCCGUGACCUAUAGGCCACAUCCAAACAAUUUUCUUUUCUACUUUUGUUUUGAGUUCUAUCUUUUUUAUAACAUCUUUCUUGAUGUACUCCAAAUAUGAAUGCAUGCACAUGGAGAAUCUAUUUCAAGACUGUUUCCUUAAGGUUUUCUUUUCCUAAUUGGUUUCAAGUAUCAUGUUUGAUGUAUUAUUUACAUUAAUUAAUGGACUAGCAGUCAAAUGAAAUUAAUCUAAGUAUCUAGCUCUCAAGUCACAAUGACUAAAUCUCCAUCAAUCUGGGGAAAGAUGUACUUCGUAUGAGAAGUAUUUUAACAAAAUAAUGCAUAUUCACUCGUCAUUACAUAUAGCGUAUGCGGUCAAAAUCGAGGAGCUUGAUACUUCGAAGUCUUAAAAUGGGUUAUAGGUCCGAGCUUAGGAGACUCAAAGUGGAGAUCGGAUCCGACUGAGGGAUGCUAUCCUCGAGGGAGCUAAUUGAAGCUUGGCACGAUCUAUAUCAAGGGCAUCACAAUCUCGAAGUCAAUCAAGAAAGAACGAAAAUUUCUCAGGAACACGUGGACUAUGGCAUUAAUUAAAGGAUAAGGCUUGUACAAAAUAGUACAGGCCCGUACUAGGCCGUUAUACACUUGUACCAAUAGAGCCCUUUACUUUUAUGAGGAAUGUACUAUAUUGGGGUUUUUCCCUCCUAUAUAAGGGGAAUCCCAAUCACUUUAUAAAAGAUCAGAUCAUUCAAUACAAAUAGAACAUUCUCUACUUUUCUUGCCUAAACGUCCUCAACAAUUAUUCUACAAAUUUAUUGCUUGUU
rnacentral:lncRNA from 1 species